AUGAACGCUGGCGGCGUGUUUAAGACAUGCAAGUCGCACGGAGGAAUGUGAGUAGCAAUACAAGCAUUCUUCAGUGGCGCACGGGUGCGUAACACGUGAGUUACAUGCCCUGCAGAGGGGGAUAGCCCAGGGAAACUUGGAUUAAUACCCCAUGGUCUCGCAAGAGUAAAGGUGGCGUAAGCUGCCGCUGCAGGAUUGGCUCGCGGCCUAUCAGCUAGUUGGUGAGGUAACGGCUCACCAAGGCUACGACGGGUACCUGGUCUGAGAGGACGAUCAGGCACACUGGAACUGAGACACGGUCCAGACACCUACGGGUGGCAGCAGUCGAGAAUCAUUCACAAUGGGGGCAACCCUGAUGGUGCAACGCCGCGUGGAGGAUGAAGGUCUUCGGAUUGUAAACUCCUGUCAUCUAGGAGCAAGGCAUGGUGGUGAAUAGCUAACAUGAUUGAUA
rnacentral:rRNA from 1 species